GUUUGGAACUGUGGUUUUGGAAUCCAGAGUAGUCGCCUCGUUCUAGUAUCCAAUUGCUCCAGCACCAACUGGUGAAAAGACCAUCAUUCUUCUACUCAGUUGCAUUUGAAGCUUUGUCAAAAACCAGACACAAUUGGAGACACAGGUUCUUCUAUCAAGGCCUUGACUGGAAUGGCAUAUUUUCAGAUAUGACCACAUUGCUUUGAGGAAAUGAGGCUGAUGUUGCAGAGCUGAUAAAACCCCCACAGAAAGGCCAGCCUACCUCUGAACAGGGUCAUGCCCUUCCAACAUCCCAUCCUGAUGGCUGGAAUAUGGACAUGAGGGUGAACCACCUUGGACCAUGUGAAACAGGGUAACACCCCAAGGGCAGUAGAACAGGAAGACAACAAGCCUGGGUCUCAGAUAACUUUGUAGCUCAGGAUCCACAUAAAAGAUUGGACUGUUAUAUGAGAAAUCCUUUUAAAGAUCUAUAAGGUCUCUCUUGCAUACAACCAACUUAUGUGCUAACUAAUGUAUAAAGUGAGAGAAAACCUCAUCCUAUGACAUAUUCUCUGUACUAAUAAAGCCUUGAAGACAUUGACACUCUGGAUCAGGCUGUGCCUUGA
rnacentral:lncRNA from 1 species